ACAUUGGUGGUUAACGGUAGAAUCCUCACCUUUCAUGCAGGAGAACUGGGUUCGAAUCCCGGCCAAUGCA
rnacentral:tRNA from 1 species